CGUCGCUUAUCAAAUGUAUAUUCUUACGUGACACGAAGUCUAAGAGAUGGUUUAGUUCGGUUCGUGUUGUCGUAGUACCCAACGGGUUAGAUGGGUUGGUUAUAAGGACUCCUUUAACUUUUAGGUUAAGCUUUUGAGCUUGCUCGUAGGCUUCUUCGAGUGCGGAUUUAGUGAUGCGGAAUCCGUUUGCACUUGUGCACUGGAUCGGUACGAUCUCAGCUCCGGUUCUCCAUUUCAAAUCCCUAUCAAAUCUGUAAUUUAAAAAUGAAAAAGAAAAGUGUUCUAGUAAGCGUAAGUUUCAUGUGACUUGUGAAUGAAGCAACUGUUUGACAAAAAAAUAAAAGGUUAACUAACCCUGGAUAAUAUGGAGUAGGAAGCAAGAAAGCGUCUCCAGGAUCCGCGAGACAGAACAUCAGAGUUUCAUUAGCCGAAGUAGCACCCGCGGUUAGGACAAGCUUUUUCGGAUCAAAAGAAACUCGGUUUCCUCUAUUUUCCGACAUGAAAUCCGCCAUGGCCUGAAAAAUAGUUAUGACAAAAAUAAAUAAACAUGUUUACUAAACUAUUGUAAUAUUUGUCCGCUCAUUUUAAAAUACUUCGAUAUAUAUAUAUAUAUAUAUAUAAUCUUACCUUCUUGAAGGAAGGCAGGCCAUGAUAGUCUUGGAAAAGAGCUAGUUCCCGGAAAAUAGAUUGGCCUUCUCUUUCGAAGUUUGCCGCUUCCGGGUUCUUGGCAAGCCAUGCUUCAAUAAGAUCGAAAGAUAACUGCAAGAGGGUAAGCAAGAUCAUAAGAUAUACAUAAACUUCUUUCUCAAAAACUUUAUAGUUUCUGCUAUACAUUGUUGAGUAUAUAUAUUUACGAUACGUUGCGUUUUAAACUUUUAGUGAUUAGUGUACGUGAUUAAUUAAAUUACCUGAUUUUCUGCGAGACCCAUCUGGAUAAUGCCGUCUGGGUUCUUGAUGUCAUCGUAAGGGUUCUUCUCGUAUUCCUCCCAACCCAAAAAGUACGAAGAAUCUUGGCCAUGAGCGUUGCAAGUAACUUUUCUUGACAAUAGACCCAUUGUUUAGCUCUAGAGAGCGAGAGUGUAAGAGAAUAAAAUGGAGGGAGAGAGAGAACGUAGAUAUGGAAACAAAGAUUUGAGAGAGAGAACAAAAAGUUGGUGUUUUGAUUGGAUUGUGAGUGUUGUAGGUAAGCUAUGAUCGAGAAGUCACUAGGCAUGUGUGGAUGUUUAUAUAUAGUUUUCAACUUUUCAUGCACAGAAAUUUUGUGUGUCUAGCAUAUGAAUUAAUUACGCAUGUCGAUUCUUUUGUAUUUAUUAAUUAAGAGAAUUAAAAGAAUAAUAAUCCAUUCACGCGUUUCCAUCCACCGUCCCUGCUCACUCAAACGAGCUCAACUUCAAGAGUUAUUAUUACGCUUACCACAGCGGUUUACGCCUCUCUUCUAAAGUUGUUUUUGAUUGUGUGAGUUUAAAGUUAACUUACUAAUAUUACUGUCAGAUUAAAAUUAUUUAAUUUGGUUAAUUAAUGAAAAUAGUUAUGUUUUUUUUUGUCGGAUGAAAAUAGUUAUGUAGAUCGAAGGAAAAACAGUAAUGUGAUGUAACAAGAAAUCAACUUGUUGUUUCACCCGAUCAGAGAUUAUCUAUGUACCAAAGACGCAAAAUUUAAAAUCGGAUAAACUAGCACGCAGUGUUAGGAAGCAACCGUUUUUUGUCGUUCACAUGGAUGCAGAUCACCCGGUUUGGUUUACAGAGUGAGUAUGAAUCUGUAUACGUUGAUGAAAAAAAAAAAGAAUUCAACUUGUUAAAUGAGAUAUAAGGCGACCUAUAGAGAAAGAAAACAUAUAUUGGCUACAGAUAAAAAUAAUAAGAAUUGGGAAUGUGAGUUGGUCAAAAAGGUUAACAUGUGAAAUUGUCAUUGCUGCAUUUAGGAACCCUUUGGACCGUGUUAUGUAAUGUUGGUCCACGCUGCUCCAUGAUCCACACAUGUUGUGACGUGUGUCGGCUGUAUAUAUAUUUCGCGCUCAACUAAUCGUCUAUUUAUAUAUCUUAAAAGAUUAGUUAUUUAUGUAAAACUAAUUUAUAUAUUUCAAAUAUAUCUCUCUAUAAAAUAUGACAAUACUACAAUUGAAAGCUAAAAAGUAUUGGAAUGAUAUAUAACGUUACAUCGAGGCUAAGGAAAUAUAGUAAUCAUGUUCUCUAACCAAAUAAAAAUACUAGCAAUUAUGCAUGAUGACGUGUACAAACGAAAUUAAAAGGUUUUAAAAAUAAUGGGAACAAGAAGAACAAGAAAUCUUUGAACGACUGAUAUAGUUAGUUUUCUCGCCGGAAACGUGUCGGAACAUACUAAGCCCAACUUAAGCAUAUAAAUUCUUACUAAUAAAUGCAUAAGUACCUGUUUUUGGCAAAAAAGAGUAUAUAGUUGGAUAUCCGACCAGUAACUAAUUAACUAUUUUAAGGUGUGAAAAUUAUACUCGUUUUUCUAAUUUCAUAUAUAUCUCAUUGUCAUCUUACUAUUUCCCGUUAUUGGAAAAUUGAUCCUUCUUGUGAUGCCGAAUCACAUUAACUAGCAACAUGUUUUUCAGUUUAAAGUUUAAACACGUGUCGGCUAUAUUGCGUUUGCUUCUUCUUUUCUUUUUUUUGUUACUUUUGUUUUACUUUAUACUAAUUCUUUUUAUAUUGUUUCAGCUGGUAACAUGCUAAAAACAAUAAUGAAAAUAAAACUAAAACAAUUAUUGUUCAACAACUUAGUUACAUGUUAAAAAAAAACUUAAUUAAAUGUUCAGUAAACGCGCGCGCCCUUAGUUUGUAGCUCCCUGAUUAAUAAUCAGUGUCUCAUUGUAAGCAUAUAUAUUGUGAUUACCACACCUUAAUUAUGAAACCAGUUCAAUACAUUAGGCACUUUUAUUUUUAAGUUUUCAAAUGUUUACCUUUCUGUCAUUCCAUAUUUUAUAAAGAUGAUUAAAAACAAUUGUAUAGAGUCCAUAAACUUAAAGAAUCUCUCCUACAAAAUUUUGGUGUUCUUACAAUUUUUAAUGUCCAUUAAAAGAAAAAGAUAAUAAAUACUCCCUCCUUUUUUUUUAAUAUAAGUCGUUUUAGAAUUAUGCACAUAGAUUAAGAAAUCAUUAUUUUUUUAUAUUUUAUAAACAAAAACACAUUAAUUAUUUACCUAACCACAAAUCAACCAAUAAUAAAAUAUAAGGUAUAUUAUUAUUGGUCAUAUAACAUUAAGUGUUAAUAAAUUUUACAUAGAAAACCGAAAACGUCAUAUAAUUUGGAACAUAAAAAUUUCUCUAAAACCAUAUAAAUAGUGACCUAAAAAUCAUAUUUAUUACACUUUGAUUAAAUGAAAAAACCAGACUAUCGUUCCUCGGGCUCUCGAUCCUGAAACGAUAGCCGGAAAACCCAGUUAGAGACUUUCAUCUUCCUUAACCUCUUCAGUCUUUGAUGUUCACUUUGACUUCUUGUACUAGAUGACGGUCCAUCAACGAACAUCUUCAAUCUAUUCAUCGCAACCUUUAGUGUUUCCUCGCUCAUAUUCGCGAAACAAACCCUAAACCAACCCGGCUCGUUGCAAUGGCAUGAAGAACCGGGAGAGAUGUUAAGCUUAACCUCGUAUACGAUCUUUUUCCAUAGCUCAAUCUCGGCUUCAAACGUGUUAGAACUCAGCAGGUGUCUCAUGUCGACCCAACAAAAGAGUCCGGCGUUGCUCUUGAGACACUCGAUGCCCGCAGCCUCUAGACCCGACACGAGCUUCAUGUGACGCUUUUUGAGUCGGAUUUGGUUCUCUUUGAGGUAGUUCUUGGUGAAGUUUUUGUCGGAUAACAAUGCUGAUAAGAGGUAUUGCGUUUGAGAAGAGAUUAGACCGAAACUGGACAUUUUUGUCGCUGCAUCGACAACAAUAUCAUCGUUAGAGUAAAUAACUCCAACGCGAAAACCAGGCAGGCCUAGAUCCUUAGACAAACUGUAAACGAUGUGGACACGUUUAGAAACAUCGGUGUUUUCGAGCUUUUUCUCUUUGAGGACUUCCAUGACGCUGAUGAAUCCAGGAGAAGUGAAAACGGUACCCGAGUAGAUCUCGUCGCUUAUCAAAUGUAUAUUCUUACGUGACACGAAGUCUAAGAGAUGGUUUAGUUCGGUUCGUGUUGUCGUAGUACCCAACGGGUUAGAUGGGUUGGUUAUAAGGACUCCUUUAACUUUUAGGUUAAGCUUUUGAGCUUGCUCGUAGGCUUCUUCGAGUGCGGAUUUAGUGAUGCGGAAUCCGUUUGCACUUGUGCACUGGAUCGGUACGAUCUCAGCUCCGGUUCUCCAUUUCAAAUCCCUAUC
rnacentral:lncRNA from 1 species